GCCCAGGUAGCUCAGUCGGUAGAGCAGGGGAUUGAAAAUCCCCGUGUCGGCGGUUCGAUUCCGUCCCUAGGCACCA
rnacentral:tRNA from 1 species